rnacentral:rRNA from 1 species
GAUGAACGCUGGCGGCGUGCUUAACACAUGCAAGUCGAACGAUGAAGCCCAGCUUGCUGGGUGGAUUAGUGGCGAACGGGUGAGUAACACGUGAGUAACCUGCCCUUAACUCUGGGAUAAGCCUGGGAAACUGGGUCUAAUACCGGAUAGGAGCGCCUACCGCAUGGUGGGUGUUGGAAAGAUUUAUCGGUUUUGGAUGGACUCGCGGCCUAUCAGCUUGUUGGUGAGGUAAUGGCUCACCAAGGCGACGACGGGUAGCCGGCCUGAGAGGGUGACCGGCCACACGGGGACGGGGAAACGGCCCAGACCCCUUCGGGGGGCAGAAGGGGGGAAUAUUGCACAAGGGGGGAAAGCCUGAUGCAGGGACGCCGCGGGAGGGAUGACGGCCUUCGGGUUGUAAACCUUUUUCAGGAGGGAAGAAGCGAAAGGGACGGUACCUGCAGAAGAAGCACCGGCUAACUACGU